rnacentral:rRNA from 1 species
UACGUAGGUGGCGAGCGUUGUCCGGAUUUACUGGGCGUAAAGAGCGCGCAGGCGGCUGGUCAAGUCCGAUGUGAAAGCUCCCGGCUUAACUGGGAAAUUGCAUCGGAAACUGAUCGGCUGGAAGGUGGGAGAGGGUAGCGGAAUUCCCGGUGUAGUGGUGAAAUGCGUAGAUAUCGGGAGGAACACCAGUGGCGAAGGCGACUCGCUGGGCCUAUUCUGACGCUCAGACGCGAAAGCAUGGGGAGCGAACGGG